rnacentral:tRNA from 1 species
GCCCGGGUGGCGGAACCGGCAGACGCCGGGGGCUUAAAACCCCCUGACCCGACCGGGUCGUGCGGGUUCGACUCCCGCCCCGGGCACCC